ACUAAUCAUAAAUUAGGUUCCUCAUAAGAUUAAUAUAUUCUUUACAUAUGGUCUAUGGAACUUAUGCGAAAAAGACAUGACCAUACUUGAGGAACCCAUUCAACUAAGCAAACAUUAAAAACAGGAUUGAUUUACAAAAUAUCCACACAAGAACUAAAAAGAAAAAAGAAAAACCUAAUUUAUGUUCUAACUUAGAAUAUGACAAGCAGAAAUUGAAAAAAAAAAUGAAGUUUCUGAUGCAAGUCUGGAAUAUCAAGUGGAAAAACACCAAGUUCAAGCAAAUGAUCCCAUUCUUGAAACUUGCGAUAAUGCAUCUUCGAACUGCUCAUCGUCCAGCUUCUCAGAGUUCAAGCUUGGUGGGAUGAAGGAUCUGAAGAGUUGUUCCAUGUUAGGAACUUCCUUCAGCUCACGGCAAGCAACUUCAAGAGGUGUGUUACAAAAAGAGCGGUAGAAUUUCUUGGAACAGACAUAGACGAAGAUCAAGGAAAUUAUGGGAAGCGGAAUCAGCAUUGGAGUAUAAUAGAAUUCCUUCACCCCAAAGUAACCAAACAUUGUGACUUGGAACAAUAACAGAGAAGCAAGUAUUCGUGUAUGCAUAUGGGGCCACAUCCUUCCAUAGCUCUCAAAGGAUGGAACAAAGACUUUAAGUGCCUGAUUUCGUAAAACAAGCCAUCCCAGGCCAAAGUACACAACUCCAAAUGGGAUAAUCAGAGGAGCUAUGACAGAGUAGCAGAGGACAAUUGUGAUGAUAAGCAUGUCACCAGGAACUCUGGUUGCAUAUCCAAAAUCUCCAGGAGCCCAAGCCUCUUUCAACUCAGUUUCAGUCUUGCAAAGGUACUUCCUUUUCAGAUGAUAAAUGAUUAGAGGAACCACACGUGAAAGCUCAAGUCCAUAUCCAACAAAGAACCUGAGAUCAAUGAAAUAUGUAGAAGUCAGACAUUAAUUUAACAGGUACUAGAAUGCAUAGAAGUAGCAUUAUUGUAACUGGAUUUAUCUCUAGCAAAAACCCCUCAUAGAGAAAAGAAAUAUUUAGGAAGGAUUAAUAUAUCCACUAAUCUCAGUAAAGAUGAAAUUUAAAAAAAAAAAUGCAAAUGUGUUGUCUUCAUAUCCAUCUGGUUUAUGGUUCAGAAACCAGGAGGAUAUAACAUAGCUAAAGGCGUAUAAUCUUCUAGAAGGACAAGACUGAAAAUGAAAGCAAUGACAAAAAAUCUUACUUCAGGGCCACAAAGGUAAGAAAGAAAGUUGCAUUGCCAGGGAGGCCGUUUCCUAGCAAUUUAACUAUAGAAUCUGGAUUCUUCUGAAUGCUCUUGAAUGUACUGAACAAGGUUCCACCGAUUGUAACUCCAAUAAAAACAUUCAAAACAGUGAAAUAAAAGUACUUUCCAGACGUAGCCCUUACUGCAUGGCUCUGUGAAGGAAUUCCCUCUGCCUUGGAGAGAAACAAAAGCAACUUGGGCAACAAUGCCAAAAAGACGAUGAGUGCAAUCUGAGGGAGGUAGGCUUCCAACACUGUCUUGAUUGCAACAAUGUUCACAACUGGCUUUAGGAAUGGGAGAAUUUUCUUCAGAUUGUCCAAAGUUGUUAAUGCAGAAAUAAACCCAAUUGGUAUCAUGUAAAACAAUAUGGUCAGAGCCACAAUAAUGUAUACCACGUACUGUCGUAUUUGCCUCUUGAAAAACUUAAUUUUAAGAUUAGUCCAUAAAAGUUGACGAGGCUCAGGAGCUUCCAUGGCAGUCCAUGUGUCAACCAUUUGGUCAUGCAGACUCUGAGAUGCAGAAGCAGCUGUCACCCUACUGGUGAAAAAGACCAAAGCAGAAGGCUGCUGCUUGUCUCGUAAUGUAACUUUUUGUGCAGCUUCCAAUUUUGUGACUAGUUCCUUAAUCUUCUCAUUGAAGUACUCUAUGCUAUCUACUUUCUUACCAAUGAGACCAAGGAAGCCAGUUUUGGUGGUAGGUCUUGACCCUUCUGGUUUGCCUGAUUCCUUGGACUCGGCAUAUAUGGCUUCUGCAUGUGCAAGCUUUUUCUUGUACCCUUCCAACUCUUCAUAAAUUUUGUUAACCUCUUUAUUGUUUGUAACCACCAUCGAUCUGUAAAAUGUCUCAGGGUAGAUGGAUUUAAAAUAUGAAUCCACCUGUUCCUUUAGAGUUUGGCCCUCAGGAGGAGGAGGUAUGUCCCUAACAAGAACAGCGAAUUGCUCUGCUUUUACUUCUGGAGACAUUAAAGCCUUAGCUCUCAGCCCAGAAACAUGUAUGUAUGCUUUCCAUAACAUGUAAUAGGUGACAAAAGAAACCCAGUAGGUAGCAAUCAGGAAUGCCCACAGCCUUGGACUCUUCUCCUUAACAUGUCCCAUAGAUAACUUGUCAAGAUCAUUGAAACUCCCCUCACUUGUAGAAUUUGUGACUUUCAAUCUUUUUUCAGUCGCAGCAACAGGGAGAAGAACUGGUAGAAGAAUGAUGCCGGAUACAACCAAUAUUGACAACACUGUACUCAAGAACACAAAAUAGACAGCACUGUCAAUGCCAGACAUGUUUAUGAUAUCCUCUUCACUGGAAGACAACGCUUCCCGUAUCCAAGCGAAAGGGUUGCGAGUUCGGGACCCUCCCUCCAAUGGAUCCAAGCCUUUCAAGAUCCGGUUGGGGUAAUAAACGACAGUGUUUCCAGGUUUUCUGGAAAGCCAUGUAAAAAGCAUCAUCAAAAUCACAAAGAUUACAAAGGAAGUCCCCAAGGAGGUCAAGAAGGAAGAAAAAUCCAUAUCUCAGCGCACAGAGACACACUCUGGGAACUAGCUCUCUCCUUGUCUGAGUUUGGCAGACAAAAAUGAAGAAAGAGUAUGGUGUUAUGAGAGAAAGAAGUAGCCGUUAAGAGAACGAAUAUGGAGGGGUUAAAGAUCUAUAUUAAUUAGAAGCAUUGAUGGGUGGUGGUUGUAACGUGGAUAGGGAUAAACGAGCAGGG
rnacentral:misc_RNA from 1 species